rnacentral:rRNA from 1 species
UGGGGAAUAUUGCACAAUGGGCGCAAGCCUGAUGCAGCCAUGCCGCGUGUGUGAAGAAGGCCUUCGGGUUGUAAAGCACUUUCAGCGGGGAGGAAGGGAGUAAAGUUAAUACCUUUGCUAAUUGACGUUCCCCGCAGAAGAAGCACCGGCUAACUCCGUGCCAGCAGCCGCGGUAAUACGGAGGGUGCAAGCGUUAAUCGGAAUUACUGUGCGUAAAGCGCACGCAGGCGGUUUGGUACGACAGAUGUGACAUCCCCGGGCUCAACCUGGGAACUGCAUCUGAUACUGGUAAGCUUGAGUCUCGUAGAGGGGGGUAGAAUUCCAGGUGUAGCGGUGAAAUGCGUAGAGAUCUGGAGGAAUACCGGUGGCGAAGGCGGCCCCCUGGACGAAGACUGACGCUCAGGUGCGAAAGCGUGGGGAGCAAACAGG